rnacentral:lncRNA from 1 species
AAAGUCAAACCUAAAACUAACUCAUGCUUUUUUUGGAUUUUUCUUUUGUCCUAUUCACCCCACAAGUUCAUAUAAUUCACGAAAAUGCCAUCAAAUUUUUUUUUCCGAAAAUGACAUUUUAACUCUCUCACCCUCAUCAUCUUCAAGUAAUUACAAGAUUGUCAUUGUCUUCAAUACCCCAACCACCAUAAACAACCAAUUUGAAGCUCUUAAUGAACUUAAAAUCGAUUUACACUC